CUCUGGCCUCGUUAUGUGAAGAAGGUCUUCGGAUUGUAAAGCACUUUAAGUUGGGAGGAAGGGUUGUAGAUUAAUACUCUGCAAUUUUGACGUUACCGACAGAAUAAGCACCGGCUAACUCUGUGCCAGCAGCCGCGGUAAUACAGAGGGUGCAAGCGUUAAUCGGAAUUACUGGGCGUAAAGCGCGCGUAGGUGGUUUGUUAAGUUGGAUGUGAAAGCCCCGGGCUCAACCUGGGAACUGCAUUCAAAACUGACAAGCUAGAGUAUGGUAGAGGGGUGGGUGGGAAUUUCCUGGUGUAGCGGUGAAAUGCGUAGAUAUAGGAAGGAACACCAGGUGGCGAAGGCGACCACCUGGACUGAUACUGACACUGAGGUGCGAAAGCGUGGGGAGCAAACAGGAUUAGAUACCCCUGGUAGUCCACGCCGUAAACGAUGUCAACUAGCCGUUGGGGACCUUGAGUCUUUAGUGGCGCAGCUAACGCAUUAAGUUGACCGCCUGGGGAGUACGGCCGCAAGGUUAAAACUCAAAUGAAUUGACGGGGGCCCGCACAAGCGGUGGAAGCAUGUGGUUUAAUUCGAAGCAACGCGAAGAACCUUACCAGGCCUUGACAUCCAAUGAACUUUCCAGAAG
rnacentral:rRNA from 1 species